rnacentral:hammerhead_ribozyme from 1 species
GUCUAAAUGAUGAGUCCCUAAUAGGACGAAACAUGUGUCUUGGAU